rnacentral:rRNA from 1 species
GGGCNAAGCCUGAUGCAGCACGCCGCGUGGGGGAUGAAGCUUCUCGGAGUGUAAACCCCUUUCGACCCGGACGAAUGCCCGCAAGGGUUUGACGGUACGGGUAUAAGAAGCCCCGGCUAACUACGUGCCAGCAGCCGCGGUAAGACGUAGGGGGCCAGCGUUGCUCGGAAUUACUGGGCGUAAAGGGUCCGUAGGCGGUGCGGUAAGUCGGGAGUGAAAUCUCUGGGCUUAACUCAGAGGCUGCUUCCGAAACUACCGUGCUAGAGUGCGAGAGAGGCAAGUGGAAUUGCGGGUGUAGCGGUGAAAUGCGUAGAUAUCCGCAGGAACAUCCGAGGCGAAAGCGGCUUGCUGGAUCGCAACUGACGCUGAGGGACGAAAGCUAGGGGAGCAAACAGGAUUAGAUACCCUGGUAGUCCUAGCCCUAAACCAUCACGACUUGGGGUUUGCCCUGUACGGGGCAAGUCCCGUAGCUAACGCGUUAAGUCGUGCGCCUGGGGAGUACGGUCGCAAGACUGAAACUCAAAGAAAUUGACGGA